UACGGAGGGUGCAAGCGUUAUCCGGAUUCACUGGGUUUAAAGGGUGCGUAGGCGGGUUGGUAAGUCCGUGGUGAAAUCCCCAAGCUUAACUUGGGAACUGCCGUGGAUACUAUCAAUCUUGAAUAUCGUGGAGGUAAGCGGAAUAUGUCAUGUAGCGGUGAAAUGCUUAGAUAUGACAUAGAACACCAAUUGCGUAGGCAGCUUACUACACGAUCAUUGACGCUGAGGCACGAAAGCGUGGGGAGCAAAUAGG
rnacentral:rRNA from 1 species